UGCCAACAAGUCUGUUGUAGGAUAUGAA
rnacentral:piRNA from 1 species